AGCGUACACGGUGGAUGCCCUGGCAGUCAGAGGCGAUGAAGGACGUGCUAAUCUGCGAUAAGCGUCGGUAAGGUGAUAUGAACCGUUAUAACCGGCGAUUUCCGAAUGGGGAAACCCAGUGUGAUUCGUCACACUAUCAUUAACUGAAUCCAUAGGUUAAUGAGGCGAACCGGGGGAACUGAAACAUCUAAGUACCCCGAGGAAAAGAAAUCAACCGAGAUUCCCCCAGUAGCGGCGAGCGAACGGGGAGGAGCCCAGAGCCUGAAUCAGUGUGUGUGUUAGUGGAAGCGUCUGGAAAGGCGCGCGAUACAGGGUGACAGCCCCGUACACAAAAAUGCACAUAUUGUGAGCUCGAUGAGUAGGGCGGGACACGUGGUAUCCUGUCUGAAUAUGGGGGGACCAUCCUCCAAGGCUAAAUACUCCUGACUGACCGAUAGUGAACCAGUACCGUGAGGGAAAGGCGAAAAGAACCCCGGCGAGGGGAGUGAAAAAGAACCUGAAACCGUGUACGUACAAGCAGUGGGAGCCUCUUUAUGGGGUGACUGCGUACCUUUUGUAUAAUGGGUCAGCGACUUAUAUUCUGUAGCAAGGUUAACCGAAUAGGGGAGCCGAAGGGAAACCGAGUCUUAACUGGGCGUUAAGUUGCAGGGUAUAGACCCGAAACCCGGUGAUCUAGCCAUGGGCAGGUUGAAGGUUGGGUAACACUAACUGGAGGACCGAACCGACUAAUGUUGAAAAAUUAGCGGAUGACUUGUGGCUGGGGGUGAAAGGCCAAUCAAACCGGGAGAUAGCUGGUUCUCCCCGAAAGCUAUUUAGGUAGCGCCUCGUGAAUUCAUCUCCGGGGGUAGAGCACUGUUUCGGCAAGGGGGUCAUCCCGACUUACCAACCCGAUGCAAACUGCGAAUACCGGAGAAUGUUAUCACGGGAGACACACGGCGGGUGCUAACGUCCGUCGUGAAGAGGGAAACAACCCAGACCGCCAGCUAAGGUCCCAAAGUCAUGGUUAAGUGGGAAACGAUGUGGGAAGGCCCAGACAGCCAGGAUGUUGGCUUAGAAGCAGCCAUCAUUUAAAGAAAGCGUAAUAGCUCACUGGUCGAGUCGGCCUGCGCGGAAGAUGUAACGGGGCUAAACCAUGCACCGAAGCUGCGGCAGCGACACUAUGUGUUGUUGGGUAGGGGAGCGUUCUGUAAGCCUGCGAAGGUGUACUGUGAGGUAUGCUGGAGGUAUCAGAAGUGCGAAUGCUGACAUAAGUAACGAUAAAGCGGGUGAAAAGCCCGCUCGCCGGAAGACCAAGGGUUCCUGUCCAACGUUAAUCGGGGCAGGGUGAGUCGACCCCUAAGGCGAGGCCGAAAGGCGUAGUCGAUGGGAAACAGGUUAAUAUUCCUGUACUUGGUGUUACUGCGAAGGGGGGACGGAGAAGGCUAUGUUGGCCGGGCGACGGUUGUCCCGGUUUAAGCGUGUAGGCUGGUUUUCCAGGCAAAUCCGGAAAAUCAAGGCUGAGGCGUGAUGACGAGGCACUACGGUGCUGAAGCAACAAAUGCCCUGCUUCCAGGAAAAGCCUCUAAGCAUCAGGUAACAUCAAAUCGUACCCCAAACCGACACAGGUGGUCAGGUAGAGAAUACCAAGGCGCUUGAGAGAACUCGGGUGAAGGAACUAGGCAAAAUGGUGCCGUAACUUCGGGAGAAGGCACGCUGAUAUGUAGGUGAAGUCCCUUGCGGAUGGAGCUGAAAUCAGUCGAAGAUACCAGCUGGCUGCAACUGUUUAUUAAAAACACAGCACUGUGCAAACACGAAAGUGGACGUAUACGGUGUGACGCCUGCCCGGUGCCGGAAGGUUAAUUGAUGGGGUUAGCGGUAACGCGAAGCUCUUGAUCGAAGCCCCGGUAAACGGCGGCCGUAACUAUAACGGUCCUAAGGUAGCGAAAUUCCUUGUCGGGUAAGUUCCGACCUGCACGAAUGGCGUAAUGAUGGCCAGGCUGUCUCCACCCGAGACUCAGUGAAAUUGAACUCGCUGUGAAGAUGCAGUGUACCCGCGGCAAGACGGAAAGACCCCGUGAACCUUUACUAUAGCUUGACACUGAACAUUGAGCCUUGAUGUGUAGGAUAGGUGGGAGGCUUUGAAGUGUGGACGCCAGUCUGCAUGGAGCCGACCUUGAAAUACCACCCUUUAAUGUUUGAUGUUCUAACGUUGGCCCCUGAUCGGGGUUGCGGACAGUGUCUGGUGGGUAGUUUGACUGGGGCGGUCUCCUCCUAAAGAGUAACGGAGGAGCACGAAGGUUGGCUAAUCCUGGUCGGACAUCAGGAGGUUAGUGCAAUGGCAUAAGCCAGCUUGACUGCGAGCGUGACGGCGCGAGCAGGUGCGAAAGCAGGUCAUAGUGAUCCGGUGGUUCUGAAUGGAAGGGCCAUCGCUCAACGGAUAAAAGGUACUCCGGGGAUAACAGGCUGAUACCGCCCAAGAGUUCAUAUCGACGGCGGUGUUUGGCACCUCGAUGUCGGCUCAUCACAUCCUGGGGCUGAAGUAGGUCCCAAGGGUAUGGCUGUUCGCCAUUUAAAGUGGUACGCGAGCUGGGUUUAGAACGUCGUGAGACAGUUCGGUCCCUAUCUGCCGUGGGCGCUGGAGAACUGAGGGGGGCUGCUCCUAGUACGAGAGGACCGGAGUGGACGCAUCACUGGUGUUCGGGUUGUCAUGCCAAUGGCACUGCCCGGUAGCUAAAUGCGGAAGAGAUAAGUGCUGAAAGCAUCUAAGCACGAAACUUGCCCCGAGAUGAGUUCUCCCUGACUCCUUGA
rnacentral:rRNA from 1 species